CGUAGGGUGCGAGCGUUAAUCGGAAUUACUGGGCGUAAAGCGUGCGCAGGCGGUUUUGUAAGCCAGAUGUGAAAUCCCCGGGCUUAACCUGGGAAUGGCAUUUGGGACUGCAAGGCUUGAGUGCGGCAGAGGAGACUGGAAUUCCUGGUGUAGCAGUGAAAUGCGUAGAUAUCAGGAGGAACACCGAUGGCGAAGGCAGGUCUCUGGGCUGACACUGACGCUCAUGCACGAAAGCGUGGGGAGCAAACAGGAUUAGAUACCCUGGUAGUCCACGCCCUAAACGAUGUCGACUGGUUGUUGGGGGUUUGACACUCUCAGUAACGAAGCUAACGCGUGAAGUCGACCGCCUGGGGAGUACGGCCGCAAGGUUA
rnacentral:rRNA from 1 species